rnacentral:rRNA from 1 species
CCCUUAGAUGUUCUGGGCUGCACGCGCGCUACACUGACAUACUCAGCAAGUUUCCUUGCCUGAAAGGGUUGGGUAAUCUUGUUAGUGUAUGCCGUGAUGGGGAUAGAAUAUUGUAAUUAUUGCUCUUUAACGAGGAAUUCCUAGUAAGCGCAAGUCAUCAGCUUGCGUUGAUUACGUCCCUGCCCUUUGUACACACCGCCCGUCGCUCCUACCGAUUGGGUGAUCCGGUGAAUGAUUCGGACUCUGGCUAUGCUAGCUACUAGCUACGUCAGGGAAAGUUUUGUGAACCUUAUCACUUGGAGGAAGGAGAAGUCGUAACA